CACGUAGGAAUCUGCCCAUUAGACGGGGACAACGAUUGGAAACGAUCGCUAAUACCGGAUAGGACGAAAGUUUAAAGAUGCUUCUGGCAUCGCUAAUGGAUGAGCCUGCGGCGCAUUAGCUAGUUGGAGAGGUAAGAGCUCCCCAAGGCGACGAUGCGUAGCCGACCUGAGAGGGUGAACGGCCACACUGGGACUGAGACACGGCCCAGACUCCUACGGGAGGCAGCAGUAGGGAAUCUUCGGCAAUGGACGAAAGUCUGACCGAGCAACGCCGCGUGGACGAUGAAGGCCUCGGUUGUA
rnacentral:rRNA from 1 species